rnacentral:lncRNA from 1 species
GCACGAAGAUUUCAAUGAAGGAAUCAUCCAAGUUCAAGCCAAGAAGAAGUCCAGCCUGAAUUAUUACGCGUGAUGUGGUUUGUGAUGUGGUUUUAUAUGUAUCAGGACACAUAGAAUGAUAGAAACCUAGCUGAUAAUGAAGUUGGAACUGAAUUUUCUGUUUGAUCAGUGUCCACAGACAGGCUCCACGAAUGACAGAUUUAUAUCGGUUCAUUGUAAUGUAAAGUGUUAUCAGGGGCCUUCAUUUGGAUUAUGCUUUCUAAUUUUCACAUGUUGGCUUUUCUGGAUUGUAGUUCAGAACUGAAGUGUCCGUUGAUGUCCAAUUUAUCUUCAACAUUUAUGUUACUCGCUAAAAGAUCAUUGUUUUGAGUGUUGUAUUUAUUUUGAAGCUUUCUUGAUCUUAUUCCACAAGGUACCGUAACUGAUGGUGGAUAUUACUAAUUCAUUAUCGCGGGCAGAGUAACUGAUAGUCCGGCGAUGAAGUCAGGAGUUUGUGUAGCUAGAGAUUGCGGGCGCAAACUUGGACUUCUGUGGAGACCAUGUGGCCUGUACGUGUGAUCAGUCUCGCCGGGGCGGUGAGAUCGCGUACGGUGUGAACUCCGACUUUGCUCCUGACAAUCGCGAUGUCGAGUUAUGCCGUACAGACGGUAUUCAGUGGAAACAGUGGAAACAAACACGCGGUAAGUCGAUGAUAGAGAAUUGAGCAGGUGAAAUCUAAAUACACGAUCAUAGCACCUCGGUGGAAACAAAUACGCACCAAGUCGAUGAUAGAGAAUUGAGCAGGUGAAAUCUAAGUACGGGAUCAUGAUGAACAGCAGCGGGAAGUCAUUUGGUAUUGAUAAAUACUCCCAAAAGUGCAAUUGCCUAUGCAUUUUCAAAAUUUGUAAUCUUUGUUCUGUGAAGUAUUAAAAGUGGCAUCCAAGUAUUUGUCUUGAUGAGAUCCAUAGGACCAUUUUUUCUAAAAUUCAAUUUUAAAGAUUUUACGUAAAAUUUUAUUCCAUUAGAUGUUAUCCAUAAUACUUUAAAACUAUAUAUUCGUCUUGCUCAAACCCAGAAGCUUAGUCGGGUAUAUGACGUGUGACGCCCCACUUUCCAUAGCAGUCAUCAACCAGAGAGUCUUGCUUUGCUCGCUGUAUAAUCCUGACUCAGUCGAGACUCAUUUUACAUUUUUCGCUAGUAAUUGAUUCUGGAACCAACUGUUACGCCUGACUUUCCAGAAGAUCAUCCAUCCUAGGACUAGCACGCUUAACUCUCUUAACUUCUUAAGCCUAACCACCGCCAAAAAUGCUAGCUGGAUUUUUUAGAAACUCACUAGCACUAAACAAUGUGAGACUUGUCUCGCUAGCUUUUAACUGAGAGGUUAAAAGAGUUAGGCAUGCUAGGAUCAUAAUAGUGUUAGAAUGGGUGACCCCCUGGGAAGUGGGGCACCACACAAUCACCAGCAAAAAUUGUGUGAUAAGUCUCGGCUGAGCCAGAAUCAUAUAGCUGGCAGAGCACGGUUCUCUGGCUGAUGACUAUCACUAGUAUAACAUUAGGUUCUCAUAUUAACUCCUGUUGAAUUAGAAAUAUUCAUUUAACUCCUGUUGAAUUCGAAAUAUUCAUUUAAUUCAUAUAUAAAAGGCGUUUCUAUAUUGUAAUACAUAUUAUAAUCCUCUCCUCUCCCUACUCUCUUCUUUUCUUCUUCCCCAAUUCUCAUCGUCUGUUGCUUUUGCUUCGGUUCUUGCUUGAGACUGUUAAGAUGAAUCUUGCUUGAGACUGUUAAGAUGAAUCCUUCGGUUCUUGGUUUGAAAUGUAUCAAAUUAGUACCCUGUGGUUUCACUUUUUUUCACUUUAGUAUCCUGUGGUUUAAAAUGUAUCAAGUUAGUACCCUGUAGUUUCUCACUUUAUCACUUUAGUACCCUAUGGUUUUACACUUUAUCACUUUAGUACCUAUGGUUUAUAUAAAUCACAGGGUACUAACUUGAAAAAAAAAUAACACAGGGUACUAAAGUGAUAAAAUGCAAAACCACAGGGUACUAACUUGAUACAUUUUAAACCACAGGGUACUAAAGUGAUAAAGUGAGAAACCACAGGGUACUGAUUUGAUACAUUUUAAACCACAGGGUACUAAAGUGAAAAAAAGUGAAACCACAGGGGAGAUUUUUGAAGUUUUCCCUUUUUUUUAUUUUAUUACUACUCAAAUGAUGUUGAAAAAAAUAUAAAAUUUCAUUUCUAAAUAUUUCUAAUAACAUAAAUAAUGUUUAAUAAAGCCGAUCAUCGAUUAGGAUAUUUGAUCAUCAUAAAUAAAUAGUUACUAUGAUAUUUUAUCAUUGUAGAUAAAUAGUAAGUAUGGAGGGUUCUAUAGUUGAAAUAGCAAUUUUGUAGGUAACAGUCAUGAAAUUAAAAAGCUUUGAAACUUUCUUGUNUUUAAUGUUGUUCCGGUAUUUGUUCCUGUGAACUUGGACAUCUAAUUUACACUCUCGGGGCGUAAAACAUCAUCUUAAUUAGGUACUCUUUUCUUCUUCCCCAAUUCUCAUCCUCUGUUGCUUCUGCUUUGGUUCUUGCUUGAGACUUUUAAGAUGAAUCCUGCCAAUCCAAAAUCCAAUUUAUUGAAUAUUGAGCCGAAAUCCAAUUUGAAUAAGGAUUAUCCCACGAUUGUUCACAAUAUGAAUAGUUACAAUCUCUCUUUGAAUUUUAUUUUUUGAUGUUGUAAUAAUGAUUCAAAUGUGUGGAUUUUUUAUGCUAUAUAAAUGUUCUUAUUAUUGAACAAGUUUUUAGGGAGUUCAGCUGAGAUAUUAUUAUUAUUAUAUUAGAGGGUAGAUAUGCAAAGCAUUCUAGAAAAUUUUUUUUCUUUCUGGCUCAAAUGCAUCACAUCUACCUUCAGUAUCAAUUUUGAGAAAUUUUUUUUAUUAUUACUCAAAUGAUGCUGUAAAAAAAUAUAAAAUUUGGUUUCUAAAUACUUUUAAUAACAUAAAUAAUGUUUAAUAAAGCCGAUCAUCGAUUAGAAUAUUUGAUCAUCAUAAACAAAUAGUUAAUAUGAUAUUUUAUCAUCAUAGAUAAAUAGUAAGUAUGAAGGGUUCUAUAGUUGAAAUAGCAAUUUUGUAGGUAAACGUCGUGAAAUUGAAAAGCUUUGAAACUUUCUUGCAGUAAACGUGUGACAUAGAGUGAUGCAAUCAAAAAAAUUAAUCAGAAGCCAAAAUUUUAUUUCCUAAUUUUUAAAAUUAUUAUGUUUAUUAAGUUACUUAGAUGUUUUUUAAGAUUUUUAUAGAAUAAAUUUGUAAAAAUUAGGAAUUGGACAAUUAAUGAUAAAAAUUUAAGAAACAAAAAGAAAAGAAAAGAGAAAGAAAUAAAAAAAAGCAAGUACCAAAAUUUUUUAAAUAAAGCCUCUAUUAUUUACAGCUUAAGCACACUUUUGUGAUUUUGUGCACACUGCAAUUGUGAACAUCAUAUGUAAAACAUUAUCACAUCACAUAGUCGGGAUGAAACUCAUGCUACUUUUGAAUGCUAUGAUAUAUAGGAGUUUUCCGCUAACUAAUUCCGCUAUAGCAAAAGCACAAAUUUUGCUCUAAUAGAAUGCACGUAGUUGAUAAUCCACUCAACAUUUGAGUAGUAGAAUUUAAGGUAAAAUUAAGCUCAAAUGUAGAAUUUAAGGUAAAAUUAAGAAACUUGAUUGAUCAGCCACAUAUAGUUAAUUGUUGUUUGUUUCCUAGCUCAUAUAUGUACAUUCAAUUUUUCACACCCAAUUAAGAUAUUAGAAGGAAACUGAAUAAUUAUUAGAUAUUAAGUUAAUUAUUAGAUAUUAAGUUAAUUUUUAAAAGUGGUAAGAUUGGAGUGUACGUGCGGCUAUAGAUGCAAGCCGGACGGAUCCAGGGUGGGAGAGUUUUUUCACCUUCCGCUGCUCUCACCAACCAACCCAGAUUCAUUUGCAUCCCUAAGUGCGACAUUUUUUAAUCCAAACCCGACUACUUAUACUUCGGGUACACGCAAACAGGAGUCCGAAUACGAUAUUGGGUCUUUAACUUUUUUUUUUUGGGUUAAAAUAUAUCGGUGGGAUUUUUUUUUUUGGUUAAAAUAUAUCGGUGGGAUUUUUGGGCUGUCCCGUCUCCGCACUCGUCCCCUCGAUACCCAACUCCUACUUCACCUUUUUCGCCCCUCCCCUCUUUCUCUCUCUCCCUCUUUUUUUCUUCAUCGUCAUCUUCUUCGUCUCUCCCAUGGCAUCAAGCGAAGCGGCGAUGGCGGAGGACUCGAACAUAGAGGACGACCAGCUCGCCUCCAUGUCCACGGACGACAUCCUCAGGGCCUCUCGCCUCCUUGACAACGAGAUCCGCGUCCUCAAGGUACCACACGGAACGAUCGAAACCCUAGUUUCUCGAUCCUUUUGCACUUCUUAGAUCGACGCCGAUUGGGUUGUCUUAUAUCNCUGAGAGCUCAAAAUCUGCAGUGUGCAGAAUUUUGAUUCUUUAGCUCUCGAAAACCUCCCGUAACUCACUUUUGAUCAUUUUAACACCUUCGGACUUUUCGAAGUGUACCAUCCUCGCACUUUGGUCAAUUUGACUAAAGUUCGAUAUUUAUUUUCCGAAUUUUCGGUAUAUUACAUUGUCGGCAACAUCGUCGAGGUCUCGCUCCGUUCUCUCUCCUUUUGCCCUUUUUAGUGAUCGCAAGAUCCUUUCCUUUUGUUUUUGUUAUCUGGUGCGUUCUUGAUCUUCGGCCGUUGCAUAAACAAAGGAUUGUAGCGAGGAAACAUAAAAAAGAUGCUUGUGCGAAUUAUAGUUUUUAGAUAGUUUUAUAAACUUCUAUGUCGUUGUGUUGUUAGGUCUUAUUUACAUUUUCAUGGGUUUCAAAUUUGCCGUCAAAAAGAAACAAAUGCUUGUGCGAAAGAUAGUUUUAUGAACUUGUAAAUUACUCUGUUGAGGUCUUAAUAUCACCAUGAGUUUCGAGUUUGCCAUCAUAACUAAAAUCAGAUAGCUGCUAAUGAAUUCAACUGAAGGCUUUGUUUUCUUUUGAAAUGUUUCAGUAAAACAGAAGUAUAACUUUGUGUUUGAGUUGACUGUGUGAAGUCUAAUGUGUCUGAGGUCCUCAACCUUGUAGUGAAAUUUCAGUUUGAUCCUCUACCUCCCCUUGUUUUCUAUCUAAUUUAUUAUGUCGGAGUCCUGCACUGGAUUAAUGGAUAGGGAUGUCCAUCUAGUGACCAUGUAAGCAGUAUCAACCUAAUUAGCAUAGAUAGGAAAGUGGCUACCAUUGUGGUUUCACUGGAUGCGCCAUAUUCUCAGUUCAUUUUUUGUAGUAUAGUCAUUCAUGAUAAACAAUUUGAUAUGAACUCCAUUAAUUGUUUCUCCCCUUUCAUGGUAGUUUGUAGUUCUAGUCAUUUCGAGCUGGGGAUGACUAGUGUCUUUUAAUUCCUCGCUGGCUGUUCUAGAAUUUUUCUUAUUGAUACAGUGUAAUUAAAAUGAGUAUUAGAGUAGUUGGAAAGAAAAAAAAGGGUUGUAAUUGUGUAACUGGUUUUGUUUUAUUGAUUUUAAAUGUGACAAGUGUCUAUGCACAUAUGGUCAUGCAUUUGGCAUUAUUUGUGGUGCAAAUCCACAAUGUAUCAUCAGUAUGUUGGCUUUCAACUUAAUUGUAUUGCUCUUUAUUUUUGUUAUUAGAUAUUAGAAAUGAACCCAGAAGAUGAGGCAGAAGAAGAUGGUGCAAAUGUUGAUCUUGAUUCUCAGCGGAAAGGGAAGUGUGUUGUCUUAAAAACUUCUACACGUCAGGUAAGUUUCUUAUUUGUUGGUUUUGUAUCACUGACAGAGCAAUUACAAUUAACCUUUACCUGCUAUGUUCUUGCAACUUUCUUAUAUCAAAUUGUUUUUAUUUUUUAGGGGUAUGAACUAUGUAUGAACUUUUUUUGCUGGGCAUUUCCCCCCCUUUUCUUUUAUCGUCUUGAGGAACUUUUCCUUGUGUUGAAAGUAUAAUAUCUGAAACUGUGGUGACAAAAUUCAUUUUGUUUCUUAUUGAAUUGCAGACUAUAUUUCUUCCCGUCGUUGGAUUAGUUGAUUCUGACAAGCUUAAACCUGGAGACUUGGUUGGUGUCAACAAUGACAGCUAUCUGAUACUGGACACGCUUCCGUCAGAAUAUGAUUCAAGAGUGAAGGCUAUGGAAGUUGAUGAAAAACCAACAGAAGAUUACAAUGAUAUUGGUGGGCUUGAAAAGCAGGUCAAUGUUACAUACUGUGCAUUUGAGAUUAUAUAGAUUACUGAUCUUCCCCUAAAAGUGAUAUUAUUUUUCUCUUAUUAGUUAAUUUCUAAUUCAACUGUGUUCACAUAUUGUCUAUUGUGUAUAUUUAUUCCAAUGAGCAUGCAAAAUAUUUUUAGCUGACGAGUUGCUUAAUCCUUUUGCUUUUGUGUAUACUAUAUAAUUUUUAGCUGACGAGUUGCUUAAUCCUUUUGUGUAUACAGAAGAUUACAAUGAUAUUGGUGGGCUUGAAAAGCAGGUCAGUGUUACAUACUGUGCAUUUGAGAUUAUAUAGAUUACUGAUCUUCCCAUAAAAGUGAUAUUAUUUUUCUCCUAUUAGUUAAUUUCUAAUUCAACUGUGUUCACAUAUUGUCUAUUGUGUAUAUUUAUUCCAAUGAGCAUGCAAAAUAUUUUUAGCACUAGUUGCUAAUCUUUUUUUUGCUGUGUAUACUAUUCGUUCUUUUUUUUUUGCGUCAAAAUAUUUGUUAGCUACGAGAUUUUUUUUUUUUUGCUUAAUCCUUUUGCUUUUGUGUAAUUAUUAUUCCAGUUCUUUUUUUUUUUUGCCUGUCUAAAUUUUUUUAGCUGACAUUGCUUAAUCCCUUUGCUUUGUGUAUACAUCAGUUCUUUUUUUUUCUGCCUUUCUUAAGAUUCAAGAACUUUUGAGGCAAUGGUUGUUACCAAAUGACACACAAGGACCGGUUCAGAGAUUAGGAAUUCGCCACCUAAAGAAUGCUUUUUAUGGACCUCCUGGAACGGAAAAAACUUUGAGCCCGUCAUACAGCGCAACAAAUGCAAAAUUUGAACAGCUGCCCAACUUGUCAGGUGAGUAUACAUUGAACUUCCGCAAUCCUUACUCCUGUCCUGUUUCUUUGAUCCCUAGUAAGCAUGUUGCACAAACAACGGAUAAGGGGAAUAUCAGAUAUUACACUAAUCGAAGAUGAUACGACAAUUCCUAAACGUCGAGAAUUAAUACGCGGGGUAUAUUUUUGAAAAAAUAUUAGUCUAUAUUUAAAUAUAGAAUGGCGGAAUACUAUUAAUAAUAUGUUGGACAUUUUUGCUAUCAAGCGUUUUAACCCUGGAUGAAAAAUUGUUAAGUUAAAUGAUAAUAAUCCCUAGUAUUAGGGUGUCCCCUAGAGUUAGUGCGGGCGUUGGAAUGUAUAAUCUAAAUGGUGGAAUUGGUAAAGUUAGACUAACGCUAAAAAUCGAUAGGCAAAAGGUCCAAAUACUAUUGAAUAGUAUCCGUCUCAAUCAUUAAUGUUGAUUAUAUGUAAUAUAGUGUUGAGAACAAUCAGAUACUGGAUAAGCAUUAAAGAACACGUGAAUAUAUAACUUGUAUAAUUGUUCUACAUCUGCUCAUUAAAAAGAAUAAUCAAUCGUAUGGAAUAAUAAUUCAAAAAGUUACGGCAUGAAAUUUAAAGUAUCCGUGCUUCAUAGCUAAUAAGAAUUAACUGUAAAACCUUUCUUGUGGGCCAAAAUAAUGUGGGUACUCAUGUGCUUGUUCCUGUCUCUGUUUUGAAUGUAACAUUGUAAAAAUGGCUGAGCAAAUAAAUUUUUGUUUGCUUUGUAUUUGCAAAGUAAUUUUUUUUUUUCUAUUGUAGCUUGUCUCUUUUCUCAACUCUACGAAGCAUGAUCAGAAAAUUAUUUCUUAAGAAGUGUUCAUUCCAUCUGAAAGUAAACCACUCUUUUAAUAUUUCAUUGCCAUUUUAAUGAAUGAAGUAAUACACAUGGCAUCCACUUGUUUGGAUUCAUGGUUGGAGUCGCCUGAUUUGUAGCUACUCUUACGCUGUAUCACUGUAUGACAAAAUCAAACAUAGGAUAUAUAUUACAUAUCCAUGAAGGAAAGCUGGAAACUCAAUUUUCUUAUAGCACCCUUUAGUUUCAUUGCCUAGUUUCAUUCCUUAUGUGAUGGGAGAUUUAUUUGGAUUGUAAUAUCUUGUUGUUUGCAGUUCUAAAAAUUGCUCCAACAAAAGACAAGUAUUUUUAUGUUUUACAGUAAAUUUUAAGAGAAAUAAGUGGUUCUUUGGUGUUUCAUUUUAUCCCUCCAAUUAUUUUUAUAGUUUAUCAUUUUAGCUGCUGUAUUACCUACUAGCAAUGAAUCAUGGUUCUCACUGUAGACUCGUGUCCUGCAAUCGCACAGCUUGCCAGCCAGUGACAUGUUUUCCUUAUUUGUUUGAGGUUUUGUUGGGAUUGUUAAACUCGGCCACAGCAACGAACAAUUAUACGACGUAAAUGAUUUGAUAGUAUAUGAAAAAUGAAGAGUAUAAAUAACAAAAUAGAGACAAGUUGGCGAAUCGUGGUCGUCGAAGUGUUGAACAUAUGUCGGUGACUAAUAUCAUUCGUAGGCCUCUUCUACCUGUAAGCAAGUAAGUGUCAAUUAUAAAGCUUAGAAGUGCAUAAAAUUAUUGCAUCUGUAAGACGAGAAUCCUUUUAAAGCUACAACUCUUUCCUUUUUUUAACUUUCAAUUCUGGUUUAAGGUCCAUAUUACAAUAGUAUAGACCAUAAAGUUUUACAUUUCAUAGUGUGAUCACAAAUUACCGACUACCUAUACUUUGGGUAUACGCAAACGGGAGUUCGAAUCCGAAUCGGGUCAUUAACUUUUUUUUUUGAUUAAAAUAUAUCCGUCCCGUCUCCGCACUCGUCUCCUCGAUACCCAGCGCAUACUUCAUCUUUUUCGCUCCUCCCCUCUCUUUCUCUCCCUCUUUCUUUCUUCAUCGUCAUCUUCUUCGUCUCUCCCAUGCAUAGUUAGUUAAUUCGCGAAUUAUUCGCGAAUUUUUGAAAAGAACAGCCGUUUUCGUAUUUUUCCCAAAAAUUCGAAAAAAGUCACGUUUUUUGGGAUAAAAGUAAAUAUUCGCGAAUUAAACGCGAUUCGCGAAUAAUUUGGCCCAAAAGAACGCGAUUGCUGCCGCAUGCUGCGAGCCUGCGAGCGUGGACUCGCGGGCCUCGCGGGUGGCCCAAUACAGAAAAGANCGGCCCGUGCUGGGCGGGCCAGGGGGCCGGGCCGGGCCUCUACUUCAUAUAAUCGGGCCGGCACGGCACGGCCCGGAUUAAGAACCGGGUCGGGCCGGGCCGCCCUUCGGCACGAAUUGGCCCGGAACACAUUACGUCCCUACCGACUACCUAUACUAAGGGUACACGCAAACGGGAGUUCAAAUCCAAAUCGGGUCAUUAACUUUUUUUUUUUGAUUAAAAUAUAUCCGUCCCGUCUCCGCACUCGUCCCCUCAAUACCCAGCGUAUACUUCACCUUUUUCGCUCCUCCCCUCUAUUUCUCUCCCUCUUUCUUUCUUCAUCGUCAUCUUCUUCGUCUCUCCCAUGCAUAGUUAGUUAAUUCGCGAAUUAUUCGCGAAUUUUUGAAAAGAACAGCCGUUUUCGUAUUUUUCCCAAAAAUUCGAAAAAAGUCACGUUUUUUGGGAUAAAAGUAAAUAUUCGCGAAUUAAACGCGAUUCGCGAAUAAUUUGGCCCAAAAGAACGCGAUUGCUGCCGCAUGCUGCGAGCCUGCGAGCGUGGACUCGCGGGCCUCGCGGGUGGCCNUGUUUUAAUUUGAUUAAUUCAUUUUUUUAUCAUUUGAUAUAAUACGGAGUUUUAUUUAUUUAUUAAUUCAUUUAUUCUCUAGUUCUACCAAAUAUAAAUUUAUAUUUUAUAUUUUCUAAGUCUAUGUUCGUAUCAAUUUUUGAUUUAUGUUUUACUUUGACCGUGAAUUGUAUCACGUAUGAUCGUAUAGAUUUAAGAUUUAAGAUUUGUCAUUUGUUUAUUUUCUAUGUAUCACAUCUUUGGGGUGACUCAGUUACCAGGUACUUUCUGGUGUUGUUUUAAAAGGAAAACGUUCACAUCUGUUCUAGUACUUUAACUAAUCCAUAUUAUGUUCUCAAGGACCAAGGAUUCAAUUAAUUCUAAUGAAUCGAGAUACAAACCCAGAAAAAACACGUUUUGUCUCUUACCUGUGUAAGUUAAAUUCGUGAGCUCGGUAAACACAUAUUUUUUCAUAGGUAGUCUACCUGAUCUUCGAAGGUUGAAAACGAAACUUCUUACUUUUGAGUUUAGCUUGGACCAAACAUUUCUUGGUGGGCUAAUGUCUAGAUAGCAACCUAUCGCCUUCGCCUUCUCCUUCUCCGUUGCUCCUCCCAAAGCUAAAGGCUUUUCACUUCUUGGGCUAGAAGCUAGAAGCUAAAGACUUCUCCUCCCGAAGGCUACCGCAAGCCGCUCGCCGGCCUUCCCUUCUCCCGCUCCCCUUCCUGGCGCUGACGGCAUCCCCAGCCACCGUCCCGGCGUGGCGGCGUCCCACUCUUCAAUCCCGUUUGGAAAAAAAACCCGCCCCACCCCCACUCCUCCCCCCGCUAGAAAAGUCUUUAAAAAAAAAAAAAAAAAACUCUUUAUUCUUAUAUUCUUAAAAAAUAUAAGUAUUUAUGCUAAUAGCGUAAAUCUUGAGAGAAAAAAAACUUAAUUUAAUAGCCGAACUUUUGAUCCCGAAUUUUUAAUUGGCGAACGUAUAAUAUCCGUAUAAAUUACGUAUCCGAAUAAUUGGCGAAUCUGUUUUUUAGCCGUGUUUUUCAAUGAAUUUAAAAAUUAUAAGACGAAUUUUAUCCGAAUUAUAUCCGUACCUAAUUUUUGCCGAAUCCGAAUUAACUAACUAUGCUCCCAUGGCAUCAAGCGGAGCGGCGAUGGCGGAGGACUCAAACAUAGAGGACGACCAGCUCGCCUCCAUGUCCACGGACGACAUCCUCAGGGCCUCUCGCCUCCUUGACAACGAGAUCCGCGUCCUCAAGGUACCACACGGAACGAUCGAAACCCUAGUUUCUCGAUCCUUUUGCACUUCUUAGAUCGACGCCGAUUGGGUUGUCUUAUAUCGAUUUGGUUGGUAUUGAUGAUUUGUUGGGCGUGUUUGGUUGUGAUAGGAUGAGUUGCAGAGGAACACUCUGGAGCUCGAGUCGUUCAAGGAGAAAAUCAAAGAGAAUCAGGAGAAGAUUAAGCUAAACAAGCAGCUUCCUUACCUUGUCGGCAACAUCGUCGAGGUCUCGCUCCGUUCUCUCUCCUUUUGCCCUUUUUAGUGAUCGCAAGAUCCUUUCCUUUUGUUUUUGUUAUCUGGUGCGUUCUUGAUCUUCGGCCGUUGCAUAAACAAAGGAUUGUAGCGAGGAAACAUAAAAAAGAUGCUUGUGCGAAUUAUAGUUUUUAGAUAGUUUUAUAAACUUCUAUGUCGUUGUGUUGUUAGGUCUUAUUUACGUUUUCAACGGUUUCAAAUUUGCUGUCAAAAAGAAACAAAUGCUUGUGCUAAAGAGUUUUAUGAACUUGUAAAUUACUCUGUUGAGGUCUUAAUAUCAUCAUGAGUUUCGAGUUUGCCGUCAUAACUAGAUUCAGACAGCUGCUAAUAAAUUCAGCUGAACGCUUUGUUUUCUUUUGAAAUGUUUCAGUAAAACAUUUGUGUUUGAGUUUGAAUUUGUGUUUGAGUUUGAAUUGACCGUGUGAAGUCUGUUGUAUCUGAGGUCCUCAUCCUUGUAGUGAAAUUUUAGUUUGAUCCUCUACCUCCCCUUGUUUUCUAUCUAAUUUAUUAUGUCGGAGUCUUGCACUGGAUUAAUGGAUAGGGAUGUCCAUCUAGUGACCAUGUAAGCUGUAUCAACCUAAUUAGCAUAGAUAGGAAAGUGGCUAACAUUGUGGUUUCACUGGAUGCGCCAUAUUCUCAGUUCAUUUUCUGUAGUAUAGUCAUUCAUGAUAACAAUUUGAUAUGAACUUCAUUAAUUGUUUCUCCCAUUUCAUGGUAGUUUGUAGUUCUAGUCAUUUUGAGCUGGGGAUGACUAGUGUCCUUUAAUUCCUCGCUGGUUGUUCUAGAAUUUUUCGUGUUGAUACAGUGUAAUUAAAAUGAGUAUUAGAGUAGUUGGAAAGAAAAAAAGGGGUGUAAUUGUGUAACAGGUUUUGUUUUAUUGAUUUUAAAUGUGACAAGUGUCUAUGCACAUAUGGUCAUGCAUUUGGCAUUAUUUGUGGUGCAAAUCCACAAUGUAUCAUCAGUAUGUUGGCUUUCAACUUAAUUGUAUUGCUCUUUAUUUUUGUUAUUAGAUAUUAGAAAUGAACCCAGAAGAUGAGGCAGAAGAAGAUGGUGCAAAUGUUGAUCUUGAUUCUCAGCGGAAAGGGAAGUGUGUUGUCUUAAAAACUUCUACACGUCAGGUAAGUUUCUUAUUUGUUGGUUUUGUAUCACUGACAGAGCAAUUACAAUUAACCUUCACCUGCUAUGUCCUUGCAGCUUUCUUAUAUCAAAUUGUUUUUUUUUUUUGGGGGGAGGGGGGGUGUAUGAACUAUUUUUGCUGGGCAUUUUCCCCCUUUUUCUAUUAUCAUCUUGAGGAACUUUUCCUUGUGUUGAAAGUAUAAUAUCUGAAACUGUGGUGACAAAAUUCUCUUUGUUUCUUAUUGAAUUGCAGACUAUAUUUCUUCACAAGUCGUUGAGUAAGUUAUCCUGACAAGCUUAAACCUGGAGACUUGGUUGGUGUCAAAACAAAGACAGGCUACUGAUAUUUGGUACACCUUUCGUCAGAAUUAUGUACUCAAUAUUGAAUGCUAUGAAGUGAUGAAAAACACAGAAGAUUACAUAUAUGUGGGUUAAAAAGCAGGUCAGUGUUACAUACGUCAUCUGAAUUAUAUGAAGAUUAUCUGAUCUCCCAUUAAAAGUGAUAUUAUUUUUCGUCAUAUUAAUUAAUUUGCGUAAUCAACUGUGUUGCAAUUAGUCUACCCCCCUGUGUGUAUUUUUUCCUGAAAACGUGUAUAAAUAUUUUUAGCUCGACAGUGUGGCUUCACUCGUCUUUUGCUUUUUGGUGCAUACGAUCAGUUCCGCUGCUUUUUUUGGCUGUCGCUUGUCUUAGAUCAAGAAACUUGUUGAGGGUCAAUUGUGUUGCAAUGACACACAAGGGACCCGGUUUCAGAGAUUAGGAAUUCGCCCCCUAAAGGUUGCUUUUGUAUGACGCCGUGCCUGGAACUGGAAAAAACUUGUGAUGGCCCCGUGCAAGUGCGGCGGCAGACAAUGCAACUUUCUGAAGGAUAGCUGGUGCCUCACUUGUUCAGGUGAUUAUACCACAAACUUCUGGAAGUCGCUUUGUUCCAUUGUCCUGUUCUUUGAUUCGCCUAGUAAGCUAUGUUGCACAGACACAAAUAUGAGUACAGAUACAGGACAUGUAUCAUGAUAUGAUUGAUUAACAACCAAUCUCCUAAAACAUGAGAAUAUGAUACGCGGGAUACUUUUUGAAUAAAAUAUUAUUUUAAACUAUAUUUUAAAUAUACAAUUGGCUGGAGUACUAAUUAUAGUAUUGUGACUUUUUGCUUAUCGAGUUUUUAAGCGCCCUUUGUAAGCAAAAUGUAGGUUUAGAGAUGAUAGUAAUCGCCUAGCCGCGCCGGUUGGGUUCGCGAGGUUAAAGUAAAAACUUGUUAUUUCCAGGGAUAGCGUUAAGUUUAGGGUUAAAGUGGGGUUAGAGUAAUUUUGUGUUUGUUGAGAGGGGAGAUUGGUUUGUUCAAGUAUAGUAAAAUAGUGUUUGUCUGAAGUUAGAUGGAUAGAAAGAUAGUGGAUAAAAUAGUCGUUGUUGUUUGUUGGAGUAGUGGGUCCGGUGGGAGUGGGGUGGGUGGGGUCGGGGUGGGUUAGCUAACCCGCACCUCCAAAUGAAGUGUUGGGAAUACACUUCGGGGUUAAGGGGUUAUUCACCCGUUUAUCCCCGAACCAAACAGGGUGCCUAGCGGUUUAGUGGUGGUGCCUCUAGGUUGCAUGAGUUGGUGCGCUGUUGAAUUUGUAUAAUCUAAAGGGUGGAAUUGAAUUAAAGUGUAGGACUCUAAAGGCUAAAAAAUUGAUAGCAAACAGAGUGCAAAUACUAAUAUAUAAGCAUUCCAGCCCAACUCAUAUAUGUUGAUUAGACUUAAUGAUAUAUUGAGAAAAUAAGAAUAGUCUGGUUAUAUAAUUAAAAGGAACAUCGUUCUGAUAUACAUUAACUUUGUAUAAUUGUUCGUAUAUUGCUCAUAUACAAAGAAUAAUCAUGUAUGGAAUAAUAAUUUCACAAAAAGUUACGGCAAUAAAUUUACAAGUAUCCGUGAUUCAAGGCUAAUAAGAAUUUAACUGUAAAACCUUUCUUGUGGCCAAUAAUAAAUGUGGGGUACUAGUGAUGCUUGUUCCUGCUCUCUGUUAUGAUUAAACUAUUUGUAAACAAAUGCCUGAGCCAAAUAAAUUUUGUUUGCUCUUUGUAUUUGCAAAGUCAUUUUUUUUUUCUGUUAGUCUUGUCUCUUUCUCAAACUCUAACCGAAGCAUGAUCAGAAAAUUAUUUCUUAAGAAGUGUUCAUUUCCAUCUGAAAGUAAACCUCCCUUUUAAUAUUUCAAUUGUCAUUUUGAAUAGAUGGAAGUAAUACAUCACGCCCGCUAUCGUUGUUUGAGACAUUCAUGGUUGGAGUCGCCUGACUUUACGCUAUCUUACACUGUAUCCAACUUGUAUGACAAAUCCAACUCUAGGGGUAUAUGUACAUAAUCCAUACGAAACUGGAACUCAAAUUUUCGUAUAGCACCCUUUAGUUUCAUUGGCUAGUUUCAUUCCUUAUGUGAUGGGAGAUAUUAUUUAUUUGGAUUGUAAUAUCUUUGUUGUUUGCAGUUCUAAAAAUUGGCUCCAAACAAAACAAUAUUUUUAUGUUUAUAGUAAAUUAUUGAGUGAAAUAGGUGGUUCUUUGGUGUUUCAUUAUAUCCCUGCUUCCCAUUCAGUUUAUAGUAUUAUCAUUUUAGCGCCUGGUAAUUACCUACUAAUGCAAUAAUCACGUCCUCACUUAGACCGUGUCCUACAUUCGGCACAACUUGCAGCCAAGCGAAUUUUCCUUAUUGUUUGAGGGUUUUGUUGGGAUGUUAGUAACUCGGCCACGCAACGAACAAUUAUUAUGACGUAAAUGAUUUUGAUAGAGGAUAUGAGAAAUGAAGAGUAUAAAUAGAACAAAAUUGGACAAGUUGGCGAAAUCGUGGAUCGAAGUGUUGAACAUAUGUCGGUACUAAUAUCAUUCGUAGGCCUCUUCUACCCUCGUCAGCAAGAAAGUGUCCAUUAUAAAGCUUAGACAUGCAUAAAAUUAUUGCAUCUGCAAGAUGAGAAUCCUUUUUAAAGCUAAAACUCUUCCCUUUUUUAACUUUAAUUCUGUUUAAGGUCAUAUUAUAAUAGACCAUAGAGUUUUACAGUUCAUAAUGUGAUCACAAAUUACCUUAGUUUUAUUGACUUACUUUUAUUCUUAAUCUUGGUUUCCCAUUUAUUCUUAUUCUUUGUUUUCCAAACUUUUGUUCUUGUGAUUUCUGUAUAUAAUCUCUGUAGUUAGCGUCUCUAUGGUAAAUUACUCAAGACAAGGGCAAACACAUUCUUUAUUCAUCUGAGUUCGACAAAAAUUAGACAAAAGGCAAUUUAUAAUGUAAGGGUGCAUUUUAUAGUUGUAAGGGAAAAACAUAUUAGACAAAAGGCAGUUUAUAAUUAUAAGGGUGCCUUCUCAUUAUUGUAAAGGAAAGACAUAAAUGAGAGCUGCUUUAUUAAAUUCAUGGCAGUAAUAGCUUGAAGCAAAUGUUAACUGCUUCUGCCACCAUAACACCAUUCAGGUUGCUGUAUAGUAGUUAUUUCUCUUAUGAAUAUUGUGAUAAUUGGGUUCAAAAUGAUGGCUGAGAUUCGAUAGCUAUGUUUAUAAUAGAUGAUAAGUAAGAUGCACAGUAGGAUGAAAUUAUCAAGCUGCUUAUGUAGCCAUUAGGCCUUGAUCAUAGUAGUCGAAAUAUUCCAGUAGUAUGAAAACCGUUCCAGUGUAAUAUGUGAUUUAUUUCAAGUAUAAAUAGUAUAUGGUUGGUUUAUUUGUGUAAUUUAGAACUGAAUGAUUUUUUAGGGUUCUUCUUGCGAUCUUUAUAUACAUCAAAUUUUGCUUGUACAGGUAGUUCAGUUUUGCGUGGAAAAUUGUCGCCACUUCAUAGUUUUAUGUUUUGCAUUAUUUGUUUUUCUCACAUAGAAAUAAUAGCUGCAUGAACUGCCUUCUGAAACUCAAUUGGAAGAUUUUCUCUCUCUUUUUUUUUUGGUCUCCUACAAGCGCCACCAGCUAAGUUGACUAAACCCUUUUUUGGCUCAUUCAGAUGUUUAUUGGAGAUGGUGCAAAACUUGUUCGUGAUGCCUUUCAGCUUGCCAAGGAAAAAGCACCCUGCAUUAUUUUCAUUGAUGAGAUUGAUGCAAUAGGAACAAAGAGAUUUGACAGGUCUGCUAUAUUCUCCUUCCUUUAUAUCAUCAUAUGAUUCCUGUUUCUCAAAUGUAAUGAUUCAAUUGUCUAACGGUCUAAGCAACAGUAUGACUGAUUGUCUCAUCUCUCCCUGUACUGUAAAAUGUUUACUUGUUGUUUUUGUCUGUUGAUUAAUGCUUCAUGCCUUCAUUCUCACAGAAAUACCACAUAAUCGAUGUCCUCGAAAAUUGGUGAAGUUAGAUUGGCCUUUAAGAAUCAAAUUGAUUCUGACAAUUGGGAAAGAUAUUAUUCACUCAUUUCUAUCUCAUUUGCACUUCGAUGCUGCUUAGGGGUUGCAACCUUUGUGGAACUUGCUCAGCAGUUUCGGAUUUACCAGAUUAUUUGUUUCGUUAUGCAGUAUUCUUCUAGACUGAUUUUAUCCAUGCUAGUUCCCAGUUUAUCAGUUGUAUAAGGAACAUUUGACUUCUAGCUUCAUCACAAAUGGACUUAAAAGGCAACACUCUUAUGUGGGUACCUGAGGCUCUGCAAUACUGUCUUUGUGCUAGUACGGUGCAUAUGUGUUCCAUGCAAGAUUUGGCUAGAAUACCUUAGAUACAGCAGAUGGAUGAUACAUUUUAUUGAAGAGAAAUGCUCAAAGUAUUCAUGGAGAGAUAAAAACAUGCAACUUUUGCAGACCUACUUAAGUUUGUCAUAGGACAUUGUGAUGCAAUAAAAUUACGCCUAACUUUCAAAAUGAGUUAAUGUAAGAAAUUUAUGGCUGCAUGCUCCAAAUAAGUGAACUAAAAAUGGCUUCUAAAAUUUAUGAUAUAGAGAUGUAGAAGUUGACUUUAUUGAUUAAAAAAAUCAAGAAGAAUGAGUCAUUCUCCUCGUGAAAUUGCAGUUCUCUUUCAAUUAUCCUGUCAAAUACAUCUAGCAAAUUCCAUAUGAACCGUAAGAUGUGUUGUUUUUGUUGAUCGUUCAAUCUUUCAAUAAGUGAGCAAUCAGCCCGAGAAACUUACUGUUUUCCUUCUAUACCACUUUAAAUUGAUGUUCCUUGAUUCUAGGCGCCUUUUUCAAUCUUUUACUAUUUGCAACUUCAGCUGCAGUCUUCUCUUGGCUUUCUAAAUGUUCCAAUUACUCGAUCUUUUGCAUAUUUCAUGAUUGAUUAUUCAAUUAUUCAGUGCAUCUGUUUAUUGGGAAGAAGUAUUUGGCUUAAGAAUAUUCUUAUCUGUUUUCAUUAAGCCAUUUUAUGCAAUCUUUUUAAUGGGAAAUUGUUUUUCAAGGUCUAAAUAAGAGAGUUUGUAGCUCAAAAAAGCUGUUUACCUAAUGGCUACUACAAACUCUGAUGCUAAAACUGCUUUCAGCCAUCAUUAACUUUGGUAAAAUGGUCAUGAUGUUCCUUUGCAUUCUUUGCAGUGAAGUAAGUGGGGACAGGGAAGUGCAGCGAACUAUGUUAGAAUUACUUAAUCAGCUUGAUGGCUUUAGCAGUGAUGACCGGAUAAAGGUCAGUACAUUAUUUUCUCUGUUAUUAUGACUAAAUGCUUGGUUGAAGCUUCAUGGCUGACUUAUCUAUCAUUUUUUGUUUGACCUCUCAAUUUCUUGUAUGUCUCUAAAUUCAUCGCCCUUUCAUUUGGUAGAAUUAGUCCCAACUUUUGUCUUCUUUAUAGAAUUCUACGUGAACUGACACUAGAAUUUUGUUUUCCAAUUUAGAGAACAGAGUUUGUAAUGCCAUCUAUGGCUUGAGAUGUAUUGAAAGAAGCAACAAAAUAUUUUUAGUGGCUUGGUUCGAAUAGAAGCUAAACAAAAUCGAAGCAAUUAAUUACUCUUAUGUAAUAGAAGAAAGAAACUUGAAGGGAAAAAGAAAACUGGGAAAAACCUAUAAUUUCCAAAGAGGAACAGUUAUUGAAACUUCUAAAAAAAGAAAAGACUGGUAAGGGGGUAGUCAGAGAUAGAUUGGGUAAUCUUACAAUUUAUAAUAAAUUUUUCCCAAACGAGUGAUGAUUCUCGAUAUAUUUUUACUUCAGUAGUCAAUAACAAUAUAAAGACGAGAAAGAAUCUUUCACAUCUUUUGUGAAGGCCAUCCAUGUUUCGUUAUUGGCUUUUCUGAAGUCUAGAAAUCUAAUUGGGAUCCUCUUUUUAAAGAAAACAAAGACGCCAAAGUUGGUAGAUCUUUCCUUUAGGCAAAGAUUCGAAAGCAACUCCAGAGUUCUUGUUGCUCCAAGAUCUCUCCCUCUAUUCUAAGAGGAGAAAAAUGAAGGGCCUUGACGGUUAGAUUAUUAGAUUUUGUUAUGAUGCCAUCUUCUAGUAUACAGUUCAUCAUGCUCUCUGUUGUGUCAAUGUUAAGUUCUUUUGCUUUAACUUGGAAAGCAAGUAACCCGUGGACCUCUGUCACCAAGAUUUAAAUCUAGUUAACUGGGAUAGUAGGCUGUUUAAGGCAACACACUAGUAAUUUUUGUUGAGAGCUGUAUAGUGUGCAUCAACUGCCAAUGGUUUAGAAUUUUUUUGACAUAUAUGUAAAAUGUCUGAUCCCUGAAAUAUAAAAAAAAAUUGUGAAAAGAUUUAAGUUCUGUAUUUUAAGGAAUAUAAGUAUAACCGGGUUUCUAAUUUUCUCAUGGAAGGCAUGAUGAUAUAGGUUUUUAAGAUAAACUUGACAACUGAGUAGAAAAUAUAUUGAUAGAAAAGAAUCCACAGGCCAGUAAAAUUUUGUUGUAGAAGACCCUGCUGCCCACCCUUGGUUACUUCUGAAACUAAUUUAAAUGGAUGAAAUAUUUUAGUUCUAGUUAUGCUAUGAUGACCUUCCUAACUUGUUUUACUUAAAAGGACUCCAUUGAAUUCUUCUAAUGAAAAUAUUGUCCUUUAGGAGGGUGAUUAUAGUCAGUCACUGUAUACUGUAACAGUGACAUGUGAAUAUGUGCAUGAACAGAAAGAAGGAAGAUAUCUGGUAAAUUGGUUAGUUCCUUGUGCAGUGUUUGAAAAUGCGCAAGGUGCAAAAAGGCACAAAGGCCUUUUGAAGCCUAGGCGGCUCGAGAAGGUGAGACGCACAACUAAUCAAAAUAAAAACACUCUUAACAAACUUAGUUUAAAUGGAUGUUUUAUGUUAAAAAUUUGCAAAAUAGCCAUACAAACCAUAAAAAAAACGAAGAAAUCACAUGUAUAAAUAUUCUCAAACUAAAAAAAAAACUUAUGUCUCAACUUCAACUUAAAAGUGCUUGUUUUUGUUUCUUGCCGCUGCUGCUUCUUGCCAUUGCAAGGUGGAAGAGAGAAUGACCAAGAGAAAAGGAGAAGAAAGUGCUCAAAUUAGGAAAUUUUUUCAAUUCCUUAAUAUUUUAAAAUAUAUUGAAAAAACCCAAGACCAGUAAACCCAAACUCUAGACCCAUUAAACGUAAAUAUCAGGAGGCGUGUUUGAGUCGCGUGCCUCGCUCCUUGAGGCACUAAGGGCCGCGUCUCGUGCCUGGGGCGCGCCUUUUCAAACACUGCUUGUGCACUUGUGGUUGACAGUCGGCACCAAGAUAGCUAACUAAAUAAAAAAAUACUAAAUGAAUGUCGCCAUAUAUGCCGACGGAACCUCCUUGCUAGCCCUAUUAAGGCCAGUGCACUAAUAUCUAAUAAUUUCAAUGUAUUAGAAUGGCAAAGAGCACUGAUGCAUCUUGUAUUUCUAAAUAUAGUGCUUAAUUAAAAGGAAAAUGUUUUGGUGCAGGCGUAAUAUCUUUUUUUAUUAGAGGUAUUACUGUUUUAGUUAUUAGAAUGAUGCAGUUUACCUUAGAUAAUUAAUUUUAAAAUACGUCUUUUUGAUGGUUGACUAGAAUUGGCUGAUUGUAAUGGAAAAGUAUGGUUCUUAUAUUUUUCAUCUAGUCACUUCGGAGGAUAUCAUGUUGCAAAAUCAAUUGAAUUGCAGUAACUGAACAAACCUAUCUCAUUUUUAAGUUUGAACACAAGGUAAUCUAGCAAUAGAGAGGAGCAAGAAGGCAGAUAAAGAGAUAUAGAAGAAUUGUAAAAGCUAUUAAAUGAAUCCUAUGGCUGAUCAAUUUCUACUGGCCACUUAGCCAAAGGAACCAUGAGUGCUCCAUGUCGUCGAUAACAGCCAGUUUUGCUUGAAGACCUUGAAUUCCUUUAGACACAUUUUUUUUGUGUUCUUUUUAUGAUUCUUUUUAGUCGUCAAAAGUACUGCUCUUGUAAGUUUAUGCGACAGCUGAUCUUUUCUGAAGUUAGAGUUCCUUGGGGAAUCAAAAUUUUAUGUAGUAUCAUCAAUAUGAACAAAUAAUCCAGCAAGUACCCAAUUAUACAAAUUAUCACCUCUGACUUUAGUGGGAAAAAUUCAAGGAGCAGAGAUCUCAAUAGUGAUUGUAGCCACACAACUGUUGUCUUCAUGUUGCACUAUAUUUUUUUUUAUUUUGAAUUUACCUAAAAAUCUUUGGUAUAGGGCUUUCUUUUUUCUUUUGGCGAUAAACGGACGAAGCUUUUUGCAAUCAACUAUUGGUGCUAUUCUUAUUUAUUUUACAUCAUUUUUUUUGCUUAACUAAAAGAAUGUCUGGCCGGUCCACUUAACAGGUUAUUGCAGCAACUAACCGAGCUGACAUUCUUGAUCCUGCCCUAAUGAGAUCGGGUCGUUUGGAUCGCAAAAUCGAGUUCCCUCAUCCAUCAGAAGAAGCCAGAGCUCGGAUCUUGCAGGUGCUCUUUGGCUUAUUACUGUUUUCAACAAUUGUAUUUUCUUCUUUUACAAAUUUUCUCUGCCAUCAUACGCACAGAGAGAGUUGACUGUUUAUUUGUAAUCUUAGAUCCACUCGAGGAAGAUGAAUGUCCAUCCUGAUGUCAACUUUGAAGAGCUCGCUCGUUCAACUGAUGAUUUCAAUGGGGCACAACUGAAAGCAGUUUGUGUAGAAGCUGGAAUGCUUGCACUGCGUCGGGAUGCGACUGAGGUUUCACACUCUUCUUCUUAGUAGUUUAUUUUCUUAAUUCACUUACUGAACCUUCAUCUUGCAUGCACGUGACUAAUCUUUUCUUUGACUUGCAACUGUAAGCUUAAUUUACUAUGCUAUUUUCGCAUCAAAUUGCAUUAGGAGACGUUCCUUAUUAUUUUCUAUUUGUUUGUUCGGUUGAGAAUUAGAGUGGAUAAAUAAUCUUCUUUUGACCUCAGGUGACGCACGAAGAUUUCAAUGAAGGAAUCAUCCAAGUUCAAGCCAAGAAGAAGUCCAGCCUGAAUUAUUACGCGUGAUGUGGUUUUAUAUGUAUCAGGACAUAUAGAAACCUAGCUGAUAAUGAAGUUGGAAGUGAAUUUUCUGUUUGAUCAGUGUCCACAGACAGGCUCCACGAAUGGAAUGAUAGAUUUAUAUCGGUUCAUUGUAAUGUAAAGUGUUAUCAGGGGGCCCUCAUUUGGAUUAUGCUUUCUAAUUUUCA